UACGGAGGAUUCGAGCGUUAUCCGGAAUCAUUGGGUUUAAAGGGUUCGUAGGCGGGUUUGUAAGUCAGUGGUGAAAGUUCACGGCUCAACCGUGAAAUUGCCUUUGAUACUGCAGAUCUUGAAUAUUUGUGAAGUAACUAGAAUAUGUGGUGUAGCGGUGAAAUGCAUAGAUAUCACAUGGAAUACCGAUUGCGAAGGCA
rnacentral:rRNA from 1 species